rnacentral:misc_RNA from 1 species
UGAAUUGCGAUAAUUAAUGUGAAUUGCAUAAGCCUGUGAAUCAUCGAGUCUUUGAACGCACCUUGCACUCUCGGGGUCUUCCCGGGAGUAUACCUGUCUGAGAAUCGUAUCCAUCAUGGACCUCCCUUUGGGGGGGGACCGAGCUGGCGGGUCGGCGAUAGCGUGAUGCUGCCGUCUGCCGAAAUGGAGGGAGCGCGGAGCGGCUGCUCUGUGCCAAGAGUGUGACGAGCGUGAUGCCAACUUCACUCGAGGCGCAGGCCAGGUGGUCGCUGUGUGUUCCGGUCUGGGGGCAUUUUUGCCUGGGCGACCUGUCCCUGACCGUAAAAGUGUGUGGGUGAGCUGGUUAGGGUCAUACCUACAUCCCUCUCCCCCACCACUAUCUCACACCGAUCUCAGAUCA